rnacentral:tRNA from 1 species
UAGAUAUCUACUGGUCUUAGGAACCAAAAAUUCUUAGUGCAACUCCAAGCAAGAGCUAUGAACACUAUUUUU